rnacentral:ncRNA from 1 species
AAGUCGUAACAAGGUUUCCGUAGACCUAAGUCUAUGCGGAUGGAGUGAUCCUUUCGUAGGUGAAACACUUACCGAAGCCUUAGCACCCUGAAAAGGUUGUGUUCCGCGACUCUAAAUAAGAAUGGACACUGGAAUUGCUAGUCUGCCAGGAGUAGGCAACACUGCCAAAUUGCGGGAACACCCUAAAGACUUCACCACCAAGCAUUCCUGGAAACAGGGGUGUGGCCGAGCUAACAGCCCUGGGUAUGGUAACAGUGUGAAGUAUGAACUCCCUCGGGGGUGAAAUGGGCAAUCCGCAGCCAAGUCCUAAAGCCCGCCAGGGUCAUGGAUGCUGUUCACAGGCCAAAUGGUUGUGGGUAGAAUGCCACGGUUGGCUUCUGCUUAAGAUAUGGUCGGACUCUACACGAGAGUAUAGAGACAAGUUUCACCAGGUAUGACGCCUGUCGUACCGAAUGAAAACCAAUCGUUCCGUAGGUGAACCUGCGGAAGGAUCAUUACCGAGUUAGGGUUCCUCUAUGGGCCCGACCUCCAACCCUUGUGUUAACCAAACCAUGUUGCUUCGGCGAGCCUGUCCUCGGGACUGCCGGGAGUUGACUUCAACUUCGGGCUUGUUGCUCGUCGGUAGCCCACCAUUAAACUCUUGAUGUAACCAUGUCGUCUGAGUACCUAAAUUUAAUUUAUAAAUUAAAACUUUCAACAACGGAUCUCUUGGUUCUGGCAUCGAUGAAGAACGCAGCGAAAUGCGAUAAGUAAUGCGAAUUGCAGAAUUUCAGUGAGUCAUCGAAUCUUUGAACGCACAUUGCGCCCUUUGGCAUUCCGAAGGGCAUGCCUGUUCGAGCGUCAUUAUCACCCCUCAAGCCUGGCUUGGUGUUGGACCGUGGUCGGUGAAACGACCGGCCCCAAAGACAAUGACGGCGUCCGUGAGACCCUCGGCACACUGAGCUUUUAACCAAGCACGUGUCGAGUUGCAAGGUCUUUCGGCACGGUCUUCUUUAGUUGUACCCCAACUAAAUUUCUCAAGGUUGACCUCGGAUCAGGUAGGAAUACCCGCUGAACUUAA